AUUGAACGCUGGCGGCAUGCCUAACACGUGCAAGUCGAGCGGCAGCGCGGGGUCAACCCUGGCGGCGAGCGGCGGAGGGGUGAGGAAUUCGUCGGAAUCUGCCUUUUUGUGGGGGAUAACGGAGGGAAACUUACGCUAAUACCGCAUACGUUCUACGGGAGAAAGGGGGGGACCGCAAGGCCUCACGCAGACAGAUGAGCCGACGAGCGAUUAGGUAGGUGGUGGGGUAAAGGCCCACCAAGGCGACGAUCGGUAGGUGGUCCGAGAGGAUGAUGAGCCACACUGGGACGGAGACACGGCCCAGACUCCUACGGGAGGCAGCAGUGGGGAAUUUUGGACAAUGGGCGCAAGCCUGAUCCAGCCAGGCCGCGGGCAGGAUGAAGGCCUUCGGGGUGUAAACUGCUUUUGUACGGAACGAAAAGCCUCUUGCUAAGAAAGAGGGGUCAGGACGGUACCGGAAGAAUAAGCACCGGCUAACUACGUG
rnacentral:rRNA from 1 species